CAGAUGGGCAGAUCACUUGAGGACAGGAGUUCGAGACCAGCCUGGACAACAUGGGUUUUGUUCUGUCGCUCUUGCCAGAGUGCAGUGAAACAACCAGGGCUCACUGCAGCCUUGAACUCCUGGGCUCAAGGGAUCCUCCUUCUUCAGCCUCCUGAGCAGCUGGGAUUACAGGCACAUGCCACAGUGCCCAGCUCCUCCAACUCCCAGACUGUGUGGUUCUGCACAACAGUGAAGAAAUAUUGAGGAAUCGAAACAAGCUGAGGCAGAUAUUUCAUGUCAGGCCUCUGAGCCCAAGCUAAGCCAUCA